UUGAUCAAGCUACAAAGAGCGCAUCAUGGAUGCCUUGGUGCCAAUAGGCGAUGAAGGACGUGGUAAGCUGCGAUAAGCUACGGACAGCGGCAAACACGCUUUGACCCGUAGAUUUCCGAAUGGGAUAACCUGAGCGAGGUAACACUUGCUCGAGCUUGUGUGAAUUCAUAGCACAAGCAUCGCGACACCCGGCGAAGUGAAACAUCUCAGUAACCGGAGGAAAAGAAAGCGAAAGCGAUUCCGUCAGUAGUGGCGAGCGAAAGCGGAAGAGACUAAACCCAGCACUUUCAGUUGAUUUGAAACUGCUUUGGAUUGCCGAUCUAAGAAUAUUGGCAAUUCUCAAGAAGCAGCGAAGUCAAUUGAAAGUGCUGGGGGUUGUAGGAGCCCGAUGUGGCAGUGCAAGGGUUAGGUGAAGCUUCUGGAAAGCUGCGCCCUAGAGGGUGAAAGGCCCGUAACCGAAAACCGGAGCACGCCUAGGGAUUUCCUGAGUAAUACGAUGCACGUGAAACUUCGUAUGAACCUGCGCCGACCACGGCGUAAGUCUAAAUACUAAUUGGCGACCGAUAGUGAACCAGUACCGCGAGGGAAAGGUGAAAAGAACCGCUGUGAGCGGAGUGAAAUAGUACCUGAAAUGAUGUGCUUACAAGGUGUGGAAGCCCAGCACUGGCGAAGCAUGCUGGAUGGAAGCUGGUUUAUUAUGAAGCGUACUUGAAUGAGCAGGACGCGAGAGAUCGCGAACGAAUGCUCAAACAAUACGGAGCUGCACGAGGACAUCUCAAGCAGCGAAUGAGACGCAGCCUUUCUACAGGUUUAGAAAGUGCUGGGUGACCGCGUGCCUUUUGCUUAAUGAGUCUGCGAGUUAUUAUCAGUGGCGAGCCUAAGGCGUUCUGCGCUGGAGGCGAAGCGAAAGCGAGUCCGAAAUGGGCGACCCUAGUCGCUGGUAGUAGACCCGAAGCGGAGGUGAUCUACCCAUGAGCAGGAUGAAGGUUGCUUAACCGCAACUGAAGGUCCGAACCCGUGAAGGUUGAAAACUUCUGGGAUGACUUGUGGGUAGGAGCGAAAGACUAAUCAAACCCCGUGAUAGCUGGUUCUCCCCGAAAUAGCUUGAGGGCUAGCCUCGUGUGCUGACCUGCGGAGGUAGAGCACUGGCUGAACUAGGGCCCAUACCAGGGUACCGAACUCAAUCAAACUCCGAAUACCGCAGGGUGUAACACGGGAGUCAGUGCGUGAGGGAUAAGCUUCACGCGCGAGAGGCAAACAUGCCAGACCAGCAGCUAAGGUGCCUAAAUACCGUUCAGUGGAAAGGAUGUCAGGUUGCUUAGACAGUGAGGAUGUUGGCUUAGAGGCAGCCAUCAUUUAAACAGUGCGUAAUAGCUGACUCAUCGAGCGAUCUCGCGCCGAUAAUGAUUGGCGAUAAACGGUAUACCGAAGCUCUGGAAGACGAUCGAUUUCGGUCGAUCGGAUUGGUAGGGGAGCGUUCUUAAUGCAUCGAAGCCGCGAUGGAAAUCGAGGUGGAGCGUUAAGAAGUGAGAAUGCAGACAUGAGUAGCGAUAAGCCAGGUUAAAUUCCUGGCCGCCGUAAACCCAAGGUUUCCUGGGGAAGGUUCGUCCUCCCAGGGUUAGUCGGGACCUAAGUCGAGGCCGAAG
rnacentral:rRNA from 1 species